rnacentral:rRNA from 1 species
GUGGGGAAUAUUGGGCAAUGGGCGAAAGCCUGACCCAGCAACGCCGCGUGAAGGAAGAAGGUUUUCGGAUCGUAAACUUCUAUCCUUGGUGAAGAUAAUGACGGUAGCCAAGAAGGAAGCCCCGGCUAACUACGUGCCAGCAGCCGCGGUAAUACGUAGGGGGCAAGCGUUGUCCGGAAUGAUUGGGCGUAAAGGGCGCGUAGGCGGCCCGGUAAGUCGGAAGUGAAAGUACUGCUUUUAAGGUGGGAAUUGCUUUGGAUACUGUCGGGCUUGAGUGCAGGAGAGGUAAGCGGAAUUCCCGGUGUAGCGGUGAAAUGCGUAGAGAUCGGGAGGAACACCAGUGGCGAAGGCGGCUUACUGGACUGUAACUGACGCUGAGGCGCGAAAGUGUGGGGAGCAAACAGGAUUAGAAACCCGGGUAGUCC